rnacentral:sRNA from 12 species
CAUGAUUAGCCGAGAGCUAGGAUUGUAUAGAGGGUAGUAGCAGUCGCCUCAACUCCGACUUGCAAAUAAAACAUUUUGUUUGUAAGUAAGGUGAGAAACAACGAUAAAGUUGGAAACUUUAAUUUUACUAAGAAAUUAAGGAACUGU